GUCCACGCCUAACGAUGCUUACUCGACGUAUGGCACUAGUUGUUGUGCGUCCAAGGGAACCGUUAAGUAAGCCACCUGGGGAGUACGACCGCAAGGUUGAACUCAAAGGAAUUGACGGGGUCCGGCACAAGCGGUGGAGCAUGUGGUUUAAUUUCGAUGAUACGCGAGGAACCUUACCUGGGCUAGAAUGCGAGUGACAGGCCGCGAAAGCGGUCCUUCCUUCGGGACACAAAGCAAGGUGCUGCAUGGCUGUCGU
rnacentral:rRNA from 1 species